GCCUGGCUGGCUCAGUGGGUAGAGCAUGCGGCUCUUGAUCCCAGGGGUCUUGAGUUCAAGCCCCAGGCCGGGGG
rnacentral:tRNA from 1 species